rnacentral:rRNA from 1 species
GUGACCUCGGAUCAGGUAGGAAUCU